rnacentral:lncRNA from 1 species
ACAAAUAAAUCAAGUAGCUAAGUAAUAUGUGUAUGUAUAUGUCAUUUUAAUUAAAAGACAGGCAUUCUGAGUGUUUCAACCCAUGUUUUAAUGUUUAACUCAAACUUUGCUCUUUUUCCAUGUAUCCAUCUAAUAGGUUUCGUGUUUCUAAUAAAAGUUAUUCUGCGUUAUUUUCACAAUUUCUUUUAUUUUUCAUAACUUUAAAUAUUUUUGUCUAUAUAAACUUUCAUUUUCUUUAUUUCUUUUCAUCAUUGUCAUUUUAAAAUAAAAAUAAAAAUU